UACCAGCUCUCCGAGUGGUGUGGAUGUUUAUUGGGCCUAAAGCAUCCGUAGCUGGCUGGACAAGUCCCCUGUUAAAUCCACCGAUUUAAUCGUUGGUGUGCGGGGGAUACUGUUCGGCUAGGGGACGGGAGAGGCCGACGGUAUUUCCGGGGUAGGGGUGAAAUCCUAUAAUCCCGGGAAGACCACCAGUGGCGAAGGCUGUCGGCUAGAACGCGCCCGACGGUGAGGGAUGAAAGCUGGGGGGAGCGAACCGGAUUAGAUACCCGGGUAGUCCCAGCUGUAAACGAUGCAGGCUAGGUGUUUGGGCGGCCACGUGCCGCUCUAGUGCCGCAAGGAAGCUGUUAAGCCUGCCGCCUGGGGAGUACGGCCGCAAGGCUGAAACUUAAAGGAAUUGGCGGGGAGCACCACAAGGGGUGAAGCUUGCGGUUU
rnacentral:rRNA from 1 species